rnacentral:rRNA from 1 species
GACGAACGCUGGCGGCGUGCCUAAUACAUGCAAGUAGGACGCAGUUGCGAACGGGUGAGUAACGCGUAGGUAACUACCUAUUAGAGGGGGAUAACUAUUGGAAACGAUAGCUAAUACCGCAUACCAUCGGAUGUGCCCAGAUGGGAUUAGCUAGUAGGUGGGGUAACGGCUCACCUAGGCGACGAUCCCUAGCUGGUCUGAGAGGGUGAUCGGCCAAACUGGGACUGAGACACGGCCCAGACUCCUACGGGAGGCAGCAGUAGGGAAUCUUCGGCAAUGGGGGGAACCCUGACCGAGCAACGCCGCGUGAGUGAAGAAGGUUUUCGGAUCGUAAAGCUCUGUUGUUAAGGAAGCGGUACUUAACCAGAAAGGGACGGCUAACUACGUGCCAGCAGCCGCGGUAAUUC